CUAACUUUUGAAAAAUUCCCAGGAAUUUUUAUAAAUUGGUCCGAAAAUAUGUGUUUUAUGACUGUAAUGUUUGUUGAAUUUUUGGUGAUUUUCACCAAAAGUACGAUAAUCUGGAGUAAUUUACCCCGCGUUGAUGACAAGAAGCCAAUAGACUCAAAAACAGUGAAUUCGUUUCGACCAUCUAAGCAAUGGAGUUAAAGAAAAAUAUGUUGUGAACAUCUCAGCAGUUGGACUAAAUUACUAUUUCAAUGAAAUGUUGAUGUUAUUGGGGAAGAAACUGGGCUAAGUCUUUAGAGAUUAUGGACUAUAGAUGAAAAACAGAAUUGAUAUUGCUUUUGAGAUGACUCAUCGUCAAAGAUUUGUAAGCAGUGGAGUUCAAUGUAAUGAACAUUGGUGCGCUACAAAUGCAAAAGAAGUGUGUUAGAAAGAAGUAAAAUCAAUGGACUCUGGCUGCAAAUGGAGUAAUUGGGAAAAAAUUGCACGUUAUGUCAGCAGAUAAUGGACAACAAACAUGAUGGCGAUACAAGUGAAAUUGAAGUGAAACGAUGAUAAUAAUGCUGUUAAUGGUAAUUGUUCAAGGAAAACCAGCCCAGAAUUGAUGUUCAGUGAAUUUGCUUAUGGUAAUAUAGUUAAGAUUAUAGUUUGGCUCCACUAUAAGUAUAAUUGUCAAUCUAAAUAAAGUUGGA